rnacentral:lncRNA from 1 species
CGAUUCACGGUUCAAACACAUCUGGUUCAGCUAAUGUACUCGUGGGGAGACAGAUUUUGCAGAGAGAAUAUCACUUACACUAAGAUUUUUAAUAGAAAAUACCUAAAUUUCACCGACUUCUAAAGUCGGAAAACAGGGAAAAACCUAACCUCUACUAGGGAAUAAUAAUCAAUUUUCCCACGUCAACAAAAAUUCAAAGAACACGUCGCUCAUUUGGCGACUGUCACGCUGAAACCCUGCUGAAACGAUAGAAUGAAGUAAGUUUGUUUUACGUCUAGAAAUGGUCAAUAAUCUUCAAUUGUAUCUUAGAGCGAUUAUUGUAUAAUUUAUUUCAAUUAAUCACAGUAAUUUUCCAGUGUUUCGUCCGAAAUCCAAUCGUAAAUUCAAAUGAGCCGCUAGUGGCCGCGUUUGGAACUAUUUGAAUAAAAUAAAUAAUUUGAGUCAAUUUGGUAACAGUGGAUGCGGCUUGUAAACAACAUGCGGUUUCUCAAGUAACACCAGCACCAUGGCCGGCCUAAUGAGACUCGUUACUCGUUAGGCCAUGCACCAGCACAUUAUCUAGCAAAAAAAGCACAUUUAAUUUUAAUCGGCGGAUUUUGUGUCCUCGCUGCAGCUAUCUGUUAUUUUUCACUACCACAUAUAUAUCAUUUUAAUCUUGUUAGUCACUUUAUUUCACUCUCUCUGAAAUGAGUUCGAAACAGCUCUUGGAGAUAGACUCGUCAAUCUUGGAAAGAAAUCUCAUGUUAAAUGAAGACCUACUAAAUGUGCCUGAUGACCCAUUGAAUCUUUUCUCGAAUCAAGAAAGUUCACCAUUCAAACUAGUGAAACCAAAUCCAGGUACGUGUUCUUGAGAUCUUCACUGUGUGACUGGUCCAGGUGACUGUCACGUUGAACUUCAGCAUUAAUUAAGGUCAGUCAUUGCGCAUCUUUUUGAAAGCCACUUCCCGCCCGGCCCUAACUCGGCUGCACUCAAUAGUACGUCACAACGGGUGCUCCCAUAAGAAAUACAUUGCAAGCACUCAAUAGUACGUUACUGCGCAGUAGAGUACCAAAACUCGUCCACGGGAAUGACUGACCAGUGUGGAUUGGUCUUGAACAAAACUGCCGUGAUGAGAGAG